AUUGAACGCUGGCGGCAUGCCUUACACAUGCAAGUCGAACGGCAGGACGAGGUUCUUGCUGGCCGCGAGUUACGGACGGGUGAGUAAGUCACAGGAGGGUAACCUGUAUAUGGGAAUGGGUCGACUAAAGGCGGAUGGAUACCGCACACGAUCAUAUGUUGAACGCGAGGGUUCUUCGGACCUCGACGUAUUUGAGGGCACGAAGCCAGAUUAGCUAGUUGGUGGGGUAAGGGCUUACCAAGGCGACGAUCCGUAGCUGGCCUGAGAGGACGACCAGCCACACUGGAACUGAGACACGGCCCAGACUCCUACGGGAGGCAGCAGUGGGGAAUUUUGGACAAUGGGCGAAAGCUUGAUCCAGCAACGCCGCGUGUGUGAUGAAGGCCUUCGGAUUGUAAAGCACUGUUGGCGGGGACGAACAGGAGUGUGACAAUACAAGGGUUCGAUGACGGUACCCGAAGAAUAAGCACCGGCUAACUACGUG
rnacentral:rRNA from 1 species